GUCCAGGUCUGGGACACCGUUUGGGAGUUACUCUGCCCAGCCGCCAUUAACAGUUUUCCCUGGGUGCCCCUGGUUCGGCACUUUCCCUUCCUGCGAAUGAAACCGAACCCCGUCUCUCUGGCGGCCGUUCACAUGAACCAAACCCACGAAUAGUCCCAGCGAUACUUGGCUGCGACCGCUAUGGAACUCAUUUCGGCAUGAUGACUUCGUUGGUUCCUGGUUACCUCAGCGGGACUUAGCCGCGAAUGUUAUGGAACAGUUCCC